rnacentral:rRNA from 1 species
UACGUAGGAGACGAGCGUUGUCCGGAGUUACUGGGCGUAAAGGGUGUGUAGGCGGUUGUUUAAGUUUGGUGUGAAAUCUCCCGGCUCAACUGGGAGGGUGCGCCGAAUACUGAAUGACUUGGAGUGCGGGAGAGGAGAGUGGAAUUCCUGGUGUAGCGGUGAAAUGCGUAGAUAUCAGGAGGAACACCGGUGGUGUAGACGGCUCUCUGGACCGUAACUGACGCUGAGACACGAAAGCGUGGGUAGCAAACAGG